GCGCCCGUAGCUCAACUGGAUAGAGCGUCUGGCUACGGACCAGAAGGUUGUGGGUUCGACCCCUGUCGGGCGCG
rnacentral:tRNA from 1 species